GACGAACGCUGACGGCGUGCUUAACACAUGCAAGUCGAAGGGAGUGGCGAACGGGUGAGUAACACGUGAGUAACCUGCCCUUUUCUUUGGGAUAAGCCUGGGAAACUGGGUCUAAUACUGGAUGGCUUGGGAUGGGCUCGCGGCUUAUCGGCUUGUUGGUGGGGUGAUGGCUUACCAAGGCUUUGACGGGUAGCCGGCCUGAGCGGGGGCUCGGUUACACGGGGACUGCGAGACGGCCCAGACUCGUCCGGGAGGCAGCAGUGGGGGAUAUUGCACAAUGGAUGAAAGUCUGAUGCAGCGACGUCGUGUGGGGGAUGAAGGCCUUCUGGUUGUAAACUCCUUUCGCCCGCGGAAUGGUAGUGGGUAAAGAAGCGCCGGCUAACUACGUGCCAGCAGCCGCGGUAAUUC
rnacentral:rRNA from 1 species